rnacentral:lncRNA from 1 species
CAUUUUUCCACCAAAGGGAGAUAAUUUGGAACUUUUUCAAUGAUAUUUACAUUUUAAAAGUCAUCUGGGGCCAACACGAAUUAAUUGUUUUGAAUGUUUUUUGUAUGAUAAAGUAACAACUACAAAAGGUAAUAAAUAAAAUUUGUAAUGAAAAACAAAUGUUUAAUUUUUUUCUGAAAUUUUUAUACCCUCGAGCCUCCUUAAGUGAAAAAUUUAUUGUUGAUCAGUGAAAUUCAAUUACUCACAUAAACUAGUUUAGACAUUGAAAAUCAAGAAAGUACAACCAACAAAAAUAUCCAUGUUAACAGGUCAAUGAGACAGCAACACAGUCUCAUAAAUACUAAAAUAUCUGCUUCUCUUCAUCUGACGUUAUUCAUGCAAAAAAUAUAGGUUUAAG